rnacentral:rRNA from 1 species
CAGUCGCCGCGGGAAUACGUAGGUGGCAAGCGUUGUCCGGAAUUAUUAGGCGUAAAGCGCGCGCAGGUGGUUUAAUAAGUCUGAUGUGAAAGCCCACGGCUCAACCGUGGAGGGUCAUUGGAAACUGUUAAACUUGAGUGCAGGAGAGAAAAGUGGAAUUCCUAGUGUAGCGGUGAAAUGCGUAGAGAUUAGGGGGAACACCAGUGGCGAAGGCGGCUUUUUGGCCUGUAACUGACACUGAGGCGCGAAAGCGUGGGGAGCAAACAGGAUUAGAUACCCGGGUAGUCCCUGUCUCUUAUAC